UGGCGGACGGGUGAGUAACACGUGGGUAACCUACCCAUCAGAGGGGGAUAACACUUGGAAACAGGUGCUAAUACCGCAUAACAGUUUAUGCCGCAUGGCAUAAGAGUGAAAGGCGCUUUCGGGUGUCRCUGAUGGAUGGACCCGCGGUGCAUUAGCUAGUUGGUGAGGUAACGGCUCACCAAGGCCACGAUGCAUAGCCGACCUGAGAGGGUGAUCGGCCACACUGGGACUGAGACACGGCCCAGACUCCUACGGGAGGCAGCAGUAGGGAAUCUUCGGCAAUGGACGAAAGUCUGACCGAGCAACGCCGCGUGAGUGAAGAAGGUUUUCGGAUCGUAAAACUCUGUUGUUAGAGAAGAACAAGGACGUUAGUAACUGAACGUCCCCUGACGGUAUCUAACCAGAAAGCCACGGCUAACUACGUGCCAGCAGCCGCGGUAAUACGUAGGUGGCAAGCGUUGUCCGGAUUUAUUGGGCGUAAAGCGAGCGCAGGCGGUUUCUUAAGUCUGAUGUGAAAGCCCCCGGCUCAACCGGGGAGGGUCAUUGGAAACUGGGAGACUUGAGUGCAGAAGAGGAGAGUGGAAUUCCAUGUGUAGCGGUGAAAUGCGUAGAUAUAUGGAGGACACCAGUGGCGAAGCGGCUCUCUGGUCUGUACUGACGCUGAGGCUCGAAGCGUGGGGAGCAAACAGGAU
rnacentral:rRNA from 1 species